ensembl:lncRNA uncharacterized LOC114856059
AUGAAGACUUUGUGUGUUGCUAUUGUUGUGCUGAGUCUCACCUCAGUGUGUCAGUCAACAGCGCUGACCUGUGAGCAGUUGAAAAAGCCACUCGACCAAAGUCCAGAUGUGUCUGGAAGAUGGUACAUGAUAGCGCUGAGCUCAGACAUCUGUCUGAUUCCAACCCUCCUGAAUUCCUUGCUUUGGCCCAGUGUUGUUGUAGACGUUACAGCACAGGACCAAACCACACCAAACAUCUACAAUGCCAACUUUACAUUCAACAUGCAUGACUUUUGUGACUCAGAGGUUGAAACCUUUGUCCUUAAAAGCAGCAGCCUUUUUGAUGUGGACAGCAACAAUGCUCCAACUGGUGAGCCUGAUAAGCUGCUGCUACACACGAGCUGUCCUGACUGCAUUGUAGGACAGACAAAGACUAGAAUCAGCCUUUUUGUGCUCUUCAGUAGGAGAAAGACUGUCACUGAUGCUGAGCUGAAGGAGUUUGCAACACAGUCAGAUUGUCUUGGCUUCUCCAAACCAGAGGUCCUAAGCACAGACCACGUAUAUGAAAACUGCAAGUCAGUUAAAGACAAGAGUGACGACAACCUUCCAGAACAGUCGGCCAAGGUGGUUGAAAAGUUAGGUGGCCUGUUUACGGCUCCCCUUCAGUGUUUUGCACAGAGUGUUUUCUACUACCCUCGUGCUACGCUUGGGUGGUUUCAGGAUAAGUGGGACCGCCUUUGGUGGGAAUGUACAGUCCUUGUCUCUGUUUAGGACUUUGGUGAGCAAAUAUGGGUUUAAUCCAAUAAAGACUUGUUCAUGCAAGGGGGGGGGGUUGCA